GAUGAACGCUAGCGGCAGGCCUAAUACAUGCAAGUCGAACGGGCGGUAGCAAUACCGCUAGUGGCGCACGGGUGCGUAACGCGUAACCAACCUGCCCAGAUCUGGGGGAUAGCCCGCCGAAAGGCGGAUUAAUACCGCAUAAACCCACAGUGUGGCAUCACAUAAUGGGUAAAGAUUUAUCGGAUCUGGAUGGGGUUGCGUAGCAUUAGCUAGUUGGCGGGGUAAUGGCCCACCAAGGCGACGAUGCUUAGGGGACCUGAGAGGGUGAUCCCCCACACUGGCACUGAGAUACGGGCCAGACUCCUACGGGAGGCAGCAGUAGGGAAUAUUGGGCAAUGGGCGAGAGCCUGAUCCAGCCAUGCCGCGUGCCGGAUGAAGGCCUUCUGGGGUGUAAACGGCUUUUCUCAGGGAAGAAAACGGGGAUGCGUCCUCAACUGACGGUACCUGAGGAAUAAGCACCGGCUAACUCCGUG
rnacentral:rRNA from 1 species